GUCUAUGAACCAGGAAGAAAGUUCUUAACAGAAUGUGUACCUGGUUGGACCUUGAUCUUAGACUUCCAGCCACCAGAAAUGUGAAUAUAAAUUUCUAUUGCUUAAGCCAUCCAGGCUUUGGGAUUUUGGCGUGGCAGUGCCAGCAGAUUCACCCACCGUCCCAACCCUCUCUGAGCAGGAUCAGCCUCAGGAGGCCCUCGUGGACAUGGAGACACAGCUUUCCUCCUCUUCUGCUGCUGUCAGACUCUGGUGAGGAGGGAGGACUCAGGCUUCAUCCUCAGUUUGGUUGCACUAAAUACAAAUGUUUCCUUCACCAUCAGGGCCCGGCUUCUUCGAAUGUUGCAGUAUGAAGAUGCGCCUAGCUUUUCUCCUCCUCAUACAACUUUCCUUAAAAGCACAGUGGAAUUUAAAAUUUUGUCACCUACAGAGCAGCCACCCUCUCCUCUUUCAGUGUAUAGGGCACUGUCUCUGUCCUGCUGUGCAUGACAACGACACUGAGCCGCUCCCAGCCCAGGAAAGGAGCAAGGUUUAGGUGGACAUGUGAUCAGCUCCACAAUGAGAUGUCAUGGGUGUGAAGGAGGGGCAGGACUUCUGGAGAAAAUGGUGAUCUCUCAUAAAAAGAGGGGUGAUGAAGAGCUUUGCCCUUCAUUUCCUCUUUGGGCAGUUACCAGAGGACAUGAAGCUUACAGUCUCUGCAGCCUUCUUGAGACCAUGAGAUGUUGAGCCCAAGACAGAAAAACCAAUGUGGUCAAGUUUACCAAGCAGUAAUGUAGAAAGAAUCUGGGGCCUUUCUCCUGUCACCAAGCUGCUGUAUUAACCCUGAAUGUGCCAAACUUCAGAUCUCUUCUCAUUGCUUAAGCCAUUGUUAUUCUUUCACUUGUUUCUAAAAUUAUUGUCGCUUAUCCUUAAAUGAUACUGAAGAAAAAGAGCCUCGUUGGCCAUAGACCUGCCCCUUAGGAGAAGAAAUGCAUUAUCAUGCGUGUGUAUGUGUGUGUUUGUGGGUGUCAAAGGCAGUAAAAGCAAGAACCAGAAUAAGUGAUGUCCUUUCCUGACAUCUUGGCUCUGCUGUAUUUAUAGCUAAGGAAACCCAAACCACUGCAAAGAGUUCAUAAUUUCUGCUCUCUUCCUGUCUCAGUUUCAUGUUUUAUAUCUUAAGGAUGAACAUCUUUUUGUUGUCCCUAAUUCCUCCC
rnacentral:lncRNA from 10 species